rnacentral:rRNA from 1 species
UUUCCUUGGAAAGAUAUAAAAGUGUUGGGAAAAUGAGAGGUCUUUUAAUAUUCGAAAUUAGCUGACUUUAUUUUCACUAAAUUUCUUGAGGAUAAGCUCAAGAAAAAGUUAAGGUAUUUAUGUGUCUUAUUUGCUGUGUGGGCUUAAAAUUGGCCAUCACAAAAGUUUGUUAUAAAAUAACUAGUUAAAGACAUAAAAUUGAUUUAUUUCUAUCUAACGACCUUACAAGGAUAAAAGCAACAACUAACAAAAGCUUUAUACCUAUGCUAGGAUGAGUAUUAAAAACAGUUUUACACGGGGAAAAUUAUCUAUAUAGUCCCCAUAAAGCGCAUAUCGCACACAUGAAAUGGAAAGAAGGAACUCGGCAAGUUAAGCUGCUUCGCCUGUUUAUCAAAAACAUCGCUCUUUGAACACAGAAUAUAGAGAGUCGAGCCUGCCCAGUGAAUUUUUAACGGCCGCGGUACUCUGACCGUGCAAAGGUAGCAUAAUCAUUUGCCUUAUAAUUGAAGGCUAGUAUGAAUGGUUUGACGAGAGCAGCACUGUCUCCUUUCCACUUUUUAGAACUUAACUUUUAGGUGAAGAGGCCUAAAUUUAAUUGAAGGACAAGAAGACCCUGUCGAGCUUAAAAGACAGCAUAGAAGUUAAUAUAGAACUAGAUAAAUAUUCUGUUAAGCUUUUUAGUUGGGGCGACUAAGGAACAAAAAAAGCUUCUUUAAAAAAAAUUACAGUCAUGUAAAGAUCCGACAGCAAGUCGAUCAAAGGAAUUAGUUACCGCAGGGAUAACAGCAUAAUCUCUCUUGAGAGACCUAAUCGAAAGAGGGGGUUGUGACCUCGAUGUUGGACUAGAAUAUCCUAAAGAUGCAGAAG